rnacentral:rRNA from 1 species
ACUCCUACGGGAGGCAGCAGUGAGGAAUAUUGGACAAUGGAGCCAACUCUGAUCCAGCCAUGCCGCGUGCAGGAUGACUGCCCUAUGGGUUGUAAACUGCUUUUAUACAUGAAGAAACCUUUUCACGUGUGAGAAGCUGACGGUACUGUAAGAAUAAGGAUCGGCUAACUCCGUGCCAGCAGCCGCGGUAAU